UGAGAACGAUCUGGCUACAAAAUGUGUCACCCCAUGAUUACCAGUGUAGAUUGGGCUCAGCUGGCUGGGCUAAAAUCCUAUUCUUCCCUCAAAGCUCCACCUCCCAAACCUGCACACUGGGGCUGAGAAGGUACAUUUCCAGGGAGAGAAUAUCUGAUUUUUGACAAGAAACAUAAAUGAGGCGAGCUCUCCUGCUACGUACUAUAAACAAGAUGGCAGGUUCCAUUUGUCAUCAAACUGCAACUGCUAAGAAAGUUGGUAGCUCUUUUAUUUACAUUUGUUAAAU
rnacentral:sRNA from 1 species